rnacentral:rRNA from 1 species
UACACUCCUACGGGAGGCAGCAGUGGGGAAUUUUGGACAAUGGGCGAAAGCCUGAUCCAGCAAUGCCGCGUGAGUGAAGAAGGCCUUCGGGUUGUAAAGCUCUUUUGUCAGGGAAGAAACGGUGAAAGCUAAUAUCUUUUGCUAAUGACGGUACCUGAAGAAUAAGCACCGGCUAACUACGUGCCAGCAGCCGCGGUAAUACGUAGGGUGCAAGCGUUAAUCGGAAUUACUGGGCGUAAAGCGUGCGCAGGCGGUUUUGUAAGUCUGAUGUGAAAUCCCCGGGCUCAACCUGGGAAUUGCAUUGGAGACUGCAAGGCUAGAAUCUGGCAGAGGGGGGUAGAAUUCCACGUGUAGCAGUGAAAUGCGUAGAUAUGUGGAGGAACACCGAUGGCGAAGGCAGCCCCCUGGGUCAAGAUUGACGCUCAUGCACGAAAGCGUGGGGAGCAAACAGGAUUAGAAACCCUAGUAGUCCCAUG